rnacentral:rRNA from 1 species
UUUACGGAGAGUUUGAUCCUGGCUCAGGACGAACGCUGGCGGCGUGCUUAACACAUGCAAGUCGAACGAUGAAGCCUAGCUUGCUAGGUGGAAGAGUGGCGAACGGGUGAGUAACACGUGAGCAACCUGCCCUUCACUCUGGGAUACGCACUGGAAACGGUGUCUAAUACUGGAUAUGACCCAUCACCGCAUGGUGUGUGGGUGGAAAGAUUUAUCGGUGAAGGAUGGGCUCGCGGCCUAUCAGCUUGUUGGUGAGGUAGUGGCUCACCAAGGCGACGACGGGUAGCCGGCCUGAGAGGGUGACCGGCCACACUGGGACUGAGACACGGCCCAGACUCCUACGGGAGGCAGCAGUGGGGAAUAUUGCACAAUGGGCGCAAGCCUGAUGCAGCAACGCCGCGUGAGGGAUGACGGCCUUCGGGUUGUAAACCUCUUUUAGUAGGGAAGAAGCGAAAGUGACGGUACCUGCAGAAAAAGCACCGGCUAACUACGUGCCAGCAGCCGCGGUAAUACGUAGGGUGCAAGCGUUGUCCGGAAUUAUUGGGCGUAAAGAGCUCGUAGGCGGCUUGUCGCGUCUGCUGUGAAAACCCGAGGCUCAACCUCGGGCCUGCAGUGGGUACGGGCAAGCUAGAGUGCGGUAGGGGAGAUUGGAAUUCCUGGUGUAGCGGUGGAAUGCGCAGAUAUCAGGAGGAACACCGAUGGCGAAGGCAGAUCUCUGGGCCGUAACUGACGCUGAGGAGCGAAAGCAUGGGGAGCGAACAGGAUUAGAUACCCUGGUAGUCCAUGCCGUAAACGUUGGGAACUAGAUGUAGGGCCUGUUCCACGGGUUCUGUGUCGUAGCUAACGCAUUAAGUUCCCCGCCUGGGGAGUACGGCCGCAAGGCUAAAACUCAAAGGAAUUGACGGGGGCCCGCACAAGCGGCGGAGCAUGCGGAUUAAUUCGAUGCAACGCGAAGAACCUUACCAAGGCUUGACAUAUACGAGAACGGGCGAGAGAUCGUCAACUCUUUGGACACUCGUAAACAGGUGGUGCAUGGUUGUCGUCAGCUCGUGUCGUGAGAUGUUCGGUUAAGUCCGGCAACGAGCGCAACCCUCGUCCUAUGUUGCCAGCACGUUAUGGUGGGAACUCAUGGGAUACUGCCGUGGUCAACACGGAGGAAGGUGGGGAUGACGUCAAAUCAUCAUGCCCCUUAUGUCUUGGGCUUCACGCAUGCUACAAUGGCCGAUACAAUGGGCUGCGAUACCGCGAGGUGGAGCGAAUCCCAAAAAGUCGGUCUCAGUUCGGAUUGGGGUCUGCAACUCGACCCCAUGAAGUCGGAGUCGCUAGUAAUCGCAGAUCAGCAACGCUGCGGUGAAUACGUUCCCGGGCCUUGUACACACCGCCCGUCAAGUCAUGAAAGUCGGUAACACCCGAAGCCGGUGGCCUAACCCUUGUGGAGGGAGCCGUCGAAGGUGGGACUGGUGAUUAGGACUAAGUCGUAACAAGGUAGCCGUACCGGAAGGUGCGGCUGGAUCACCUCCUUU